ensembl:lncRNA
AUGUGGUGCUCCCUGUUUUCAUGUAAAAGUAAAUAUUAUUAUAAAAAUUUAAAUUUGCCUUUAAUACAGGAUGAAAAAUUUGAAAAUGUUUUUAAUAGCAACAAAAAAAAUGACUUACAGAUUUUGUUUGAAAAUGCAAUUAACAAAAUAAUAUAUGAAACAAAAGAAAGUUAUGAUUAUAAUUCUGAUUUUGAAAAAAUCGAAAAAAUUGAAAAUGUAAAAAAAGGAAAAAAAUUCCAUUCUGAUGAUGAUAUAGAUGACAUAGAUAUAAUCCUAAAAAAGGGAAACUGUAAAAAUAUGUUUUUAAACAAUGAAAAAGAAAAUAAUAGAAAAUACAAUAUUAAAAUACCGACUUCAACUAAUAAACAUAGAAUUUAUUCCAUGAAUGAAAGUUAUAACAAUAAUGUUAAUAAAUAUACAAAAAGUAUUGCAAAAGAUCAUGAUAAAAAUAGUACCAAAACAAAUGUUGAAUAUGAUAAUAUUUUAAAUAGUGAAAUCGCGCAAAAAAUUAAAAAUGUAAUACAUGAAAAUCUAAAUAAAUGGUUUGAUAAUUUUUUUAAAAACACUAACAUGGAAAAAAAUCCACGUCAAGUCAUUAAUGAUGAACAAAAAUAUAUACAUAUUUUAAGCAACAAAAUAGAAAAUUUCUCUACAGAUAUUUCAAAGGAAAUUUUAAAUAAUAAUAAUAAUAAUCUUGAUGCCUUAUUUCAAUACAAUGAUAACAUUGCACAUUCUCCCAAUGUACCAAAAAACUAUAACAACAACAGCCAAGACUUUAUUAAUAAUUGUCAAAAUAAUCAACAUGAGAACUCAAAAAAAUUAAAAAAUUCUGUUUUUAUAAGUCAACUUAAUACAUCUAAUAAUGUAAAUAACAGUGAAAAACUUAUAAAAAAAAUAAAAAUACCUAUCUACCAGCAAACGCCGAAUGAUUCGAUAGACAUUCAUAACAACAGUUAUCAACGUGAUACAUCAACAGGGGCUCCUCGUAAAAGAACGUAUAAAAAAUAUGUGAGCAAAGCAAAAAAUAAAGCUUUCAAAAAUGAUCCAAAAGAUGUUAAUUCCAAAAUUAUUUUAAAUGAAAAUACAAAUGAAGUUUUCACUUUUGACCAUUUUCAGAAAAAUUCAAAUAAUAACAUUUUAAAAAAAUUUCAUUUUUAA